GGACGGGUGAGUAAUGUCUGGGAAACUGCCCGAUGGAGGGGGAUAACUACUGGAACGGUAGCUAAUACCGCAUAACGUCGCAAGACCAAAGAGGGGGACCUUCGGGCCUCUUGCCAUCGGAUGUGCCCAGAUGGGAUUAGCUAGUAGGUGGGGUAACGGCUCACCUAGGCGACGAUCCCUAGCUGGUCUGAGAGGAUGACCAGCCACACUGGAACUGAGACACGGUCCAG
rnacentral:rRNA from 1 species